GGUUGGUAUAGCUAGGCUUCGACCUCUGUUUUGGUACUUAUUGGAAUUGUGUUUGUUGUUGGAUAUUGGUUGGUAAAUUUGAAAUGGGGAAGUGCUAUUUUCAAAUGUUAUAUUGCCUUUUUUUUCCCUAUAAAGUGUUGGCAAAGAGUCUUGUAAAGUGUAGCUAUUUUUAUAAAUGGAUCAUAUUUCACUGUUGCUAAAUAUCAAAAAAUGUUGGUAAUGAUAUAAAAAAUGNGAUUGGAAGGCUUAUUCGCAAGAAAGAGGAAAAGAAACAAAAGGCGGCUUUAGGAACAACACGUACAUUAUCGGUUCCAGGACAUGAGUAUGCCAAAAUCCGGGCUGAUAUUGAGAAAGAGCUGGAAGAAAAACUUGAACAGAAGUUUCAAGACAUGGUGAAAAAAUUGGCAGAGCAGAAUCCGGGUUUGAAGAUCAACCUCGAUGAGUCCAACAAGUCGAGAGAAGCAGAAGUAGAAGCUGAGUCUGUUGGGACUGAUCAUGAGUAGUUAUGCUUGUCGCAAUUCUACUCUCUUUUGGUUAAAAUUAACUCGGUUAACUCUAGUAAUUAACUCAUGUUUAUGAUGUAUUUACUUUUAAGCGCCGGUACUUGUUUUGGUGUGGUUGCCGGUUGGUAUAGCUAGGCUUCGACCUCUGUUUUGGUACUUAUUGGAAUUGUGUUUGUUGUUGGAUAUUGGUUGGUAAAUUUGAAAUGGGGAAGUGCUAUUUUCAAAUGUUAUAUUGCCUUUUUUUUCCCUAUAAAGUGUUGGCAAAGAGUCUUGUAAAGUGUAGCUAUUUUUAUAAAUGGAUCAUAUUUCACUGUUGCUAAAUAUCAAAAAAUGUUGGUAAUGAUAUAAAAAAUGUAGGUAAAGGUAGAAAGGUUUGUAUAAAAAUGUAACCAUAACCAACAAGAUGUUGCCAUUGAUAGCUUAGUUUUUCAAAGUUUAAUGUUACAGUAGCACAAAUGGUGUUACCAUAGACCUAUAGUUACAUCUCAUUUAGUGUUACCAAAACAAAUAAAAGUGUAGGCAUAGAGGUGUAUGGUUACACU
rnacentral:lncRNA from 1 species